UCAAGCGAACAAGGGCGCAGGGCGAAUGCCUUGGCACUGGGAGCCGAUGAAAGACGUGAUAAGCUGCGAUAAGCUUCGGGGAGCUGCAAAUAAGCAUUGAUCCGGAGAUUUCUGAAUGAGGAAACUCACCUGGGUUCAUACUCAGGUACGUUAUACUGAACUUAAAAAUAGGUAUAUCGAGGGAACCGCCUGAACUGAAACAUCUAAGUAGGGCGAGGAAGAGACAUCAAACGAGAUUCCGUAAGUAGUGGCGAGCGAACGCGGAAGAGGGCAAACCGGAAGUAGAAAUACUUCCGGGGUACGGACCGCAUUUAGGACUUGAGUUGUUAACCGAACGGCAUGGGAAGGCCGGUCAGAGAGUGUGAGAACCACGUAGGUGAAAACGACAAGAGCUGAGCGAGUUCCAGAGUACGGCCAGACACGUGAAACCUGGUCGGAAUACGGGGGGACCACCCUCCAACCCUAAAUACUACCCAGUGACCGAUAGCGUAUAGUACUGUGAAGGAAAGGUGAAAAGCACCCCGGGAGGGGAGUGAAAAAGAACCUGAAACCCUGUGCCUACAAGCACCUAGAGCACGUCAAAGUGUGAUAGGGUACUUUUUGUAGAACGGUCCGGCGAGCGAUUGUAUGCAGCAAGGUUAAGGACUUAAGGUCUGGAGCCGAAGCGAAAGCGAGUUUGAAAAGGGCGUUAAGUUGCAUACAAUGGGCCCGAAACCGGGUGACCUACCCAUGGUCAGGUUGAAGUGGAAGUAAAAUUCCAUGGAGGACCGAACCGACCUCCGUUGAAAAGGCGGCGGAUGAACUGUGGGUAGCGGAGAAAUUCCAAUCGAACCCGGAGAUAGCUGGUUCUCCCCGAAAUAGUUUUAGGACUAGCCUCAAGUUAGAUACCUGGAGGUAAAGCACUGAAUAGCCUAGCGGCCGAGAGGUUAGCGAAGCUUAUCAAACUCAGAAUGCCAGAGUAUUGAUGCUUGGGAGUCAGACAGUGUCAGAUAAAUGUCAUUGUCAAAAGGGAAACAGCCCAGAUCUACAGCUAAGGUCCCAAAGUCAGGUUAAGUGGAAAACGAUGUGAAGAUACGUAGACAACCAGGAUGUUGGCUCAGAAGCAGCCACACAUUCAAAGAGUGCGUAAUAGCUCACUGGUCGAGCGUCUUUGCGCGGAGAAUUUAACGGGGCUAAACCUGACACCGAAGCUUAGGCAAUACAGCAAUGUAUUGGGUAGGGGAGCGUUGUAUACGCGGUGAAACAGUAGCGCAAGCGGCUGUGGAGUGUAUAGAAGUGAGAAUGCCGGAAUGAGUAGCGCGAAUGCAGUGAGAAUCUGCAUGGCCGAAAGCCUCAGGUUUCUGGAGGAAGGUUCGUCCGCUCCAGGUUAGUCGGGAGCUAAGGUGAGGCCUAACGGCGUAGCCGAUGCACAGACGGUAGAGAUUCCGUCACCACCAAAAGAGUUAAGCACAGGGACACAUUUGAAGUCUCGGAGCCGGGUGUUGGUUCCGGUAGCGAUCGAGGGAAAUUAGUACCGAAGUCCGGGAUGGAAGAUGGCGAGAAAAGCUGUGUGUAUUUCUGCGGUGCCCGUACCGCAAACCGACACAGGUAGGUAGGAAGAAGAUUCUAAGGCCAACGGGAGAAGGGUUGUUAAGGAACUCGGCAAAUUGACCCCGUAACUUCGGGAGAAGGGGUGCUCCAGAGAUGGAGCCGCAGAGAAUCGGCCCAAGCAACUGUUUACCAAAAACACAGGUUUGUGCUAAAUCGAAAGAUGACGUAUACGAGCUGACGCCUGCCCGGUGCUGGAAGGUUAAGAGGAGAUGUGCAAGCAUUGAAUCGAAGCCCCAGUGAACGGCGGCCGUAACUAUAACGGUCCUAAGGUAGCGAAAUUCCUUGUCAGGUAAGUUCUGACCCGCAUGAAAGGCGUAAUGAUUUGGGCACUGUCUCGACAGCCCGCCCGGCGAAAUUGUAGUACCGGUGAAGAUGCCGGUUACCCGCGACAAGACGGAAAGACCCCAUGGAGCUUUACUGUAGCCUAAUAUUGGGUUUCGAUGUUGCAUGCACAGGAUAGAUGGGACACAGGGAAACAAGUGCUUUGGCAUUUGUGGAGUGGCCGUUGGGAUACCAUCCUUGCGAUAUUGGAAUUCUAACCUGCGCCUUUGAAUCAAGGCGGGGGACAUUGUUAGGUGGGCAGUUUGACUGGGGCGGUCGCCUCCUAAAGAGUAACGGAGGCGUUCAAAGGUUCGCUCAGCUUGAACGGAAAUCAAGCAAAAGAGUGCAAACGCAGAAGCGAGCCUAACUGCGAGACUGACGGGUCGAGCAGUAACGAAAGUUGGAGUUAGUGAUCCGGUGGUAUGUGAGUGGAAAUGCCAUCGCUCAACGGAUAAAAGUUACCCUGGGGAUAACAGGCUGAUCUCCCCCAAGAGUCCACAUCGACGGGGAGGUUUGGCACCUCGAUGUCGGCUCAUCGCAUCCUGGGGCUGUAUUCGGUCCCAAGGGUUUGGCUGUUCGCCAAUUAAAGCGGUACGCGAGCUGGGUUCAGAACGUCGUGAGACAGUUCGGUCCCUAUCUGUCGUGGGCGCAGGAUAUUUGAUGGGAGCUGUUCCUAGUACGAGAGGACCGGAGCGGACGUACCUCUGGCGCACCAGUUGUUCUGCCAAGGGCAUAGCUGGGCAACUAUGUACGGAUCGGAUAAACGCUGAAAGCAUCUAAGCGUGAAGCCGACCCAAAGAUAAGAUAUCCCAUUGUUUCAAACAAGUAAGACCCCUUGAAGACUACAAGGUUGAUAGGCACGAUGUGUAAGUGGAGUGAUCCAUUCAGCAAGCGUGUACUAAUAGGUCGAGGGCUUGACCAC
rnacentral:rRNA from 1 species